rnacentral:rRNA from 1 species
ACAUGCCUACACCAUAGCAUUACUACACCUGAUCCAAUUAUAACUCCACAACUAAGCACACUCAGGCUAGAGUAGUACUGGGAUGGGUGACCACCCUGGAUGUCCUAGUGUUUUACAUGCC